AAUAACUAUUGGGUUUGUACUAUAGUUAUGGUACAUCAUCCAUAUUUCUUCGUAUGUUGUUGUUCAUUUGUCUUUUCUUCAUAUUUACGUGUGCCAUUAUUUGAGACAAGAAGUUUCAGAAAAAAUUUUAACGGACAUUAUAUCACACAUUUAAUGGCGUAAAUGACGAGACCUCGGGCAAUUUAAACGCUUUAUAAGGAAAAACCUACCAUGCGGGACCUCGCGCACACAGACACGUACCAGGGCAGUAGCAGCGCAGCACGCCACUCUGCACCAGGGUGGUCGGCACGGGGAAUGUAUCGAACAGGACCGUGUAGGGCGAGGUCGUGGAGUACCACGGCCCCGUCACCAGCACCUUCACCCCGCCCUACAAUCCACACACACCCGUGCCAACACCUACAAUUAUACUUCACUCAUACUUCAAAACAACAACUACAGUGAUGGCUCUUGAACUCUUCAACACAGGGCUCGAUCUGGACCACGGACAUGCCUGAAUAACGAAAAUCAAUAAAUACCAAAGAAAAA